GAUAAAGAUACAGAGGAACAAGUGUUGUGAACCCCCCUUGCUAUCUGACAGAGCAAACCUUCCAGUAAUCCAGUACAUUUCUCUCAGGGACUCUGGAAACAUAAGGUCUUCCAGGAAAGCAAAACAAGCACAGAGACGAGGGAAGAGGCUGCUGGUUAAUAAUGAUUUGAUAGGUGUAGGAAUGAUUCUUGUAUGUUUCACACUCCUCUUUUAACUCCUGGAAUAUUUUAAAAGUUAUUCCUUUAACAAAAUGAAUUUGAAAGGAAAUGGUGCACAAUAAAUGCAUAGAGAGAUCAUGGAGUCCUCAAAUGGUUUGAGUGGGAAGGGACCUUAAGGAUCAUUUCAUUCCAUCCCCUGCCAUUCCAUCCACAGCCCAGGGUGCUCCAAGCCCCAUCCAGCCCGGCCUUGGACACUUCCAGGGAUGGGGCAGCCACGAUGUCUCUGGGUUUAUGGGCACAGGAGGGAGUUUCCAGCAGGACUGAGGCGUUUCCUUUGCUGUGCCAGCCCCAGCAGGGCUGUGGGAGCCGGAGCUUUGCCCCUGCCCCGGGGAGUCUCUGCUGUGCCAGCCCCAGCAGAGCAAACGUUUGUGGUUUCACAUCCCAUUCCAAGGAGCUGCCGGGGCAGGAACGGGGAUGGGCACGGAGCAGGGACGGUGCCGGGCACAGGGUGACAUCCAGAGGGUGCCACCAGCCCGUCCCUGCUGCCCAGGCCGGGCUGAGCAGGCUGGUGACCGUCCCUGCGUUUGCUCCGCAGGGAGAGGAAGCCAAGCCUGGCGAGGAGGAGGAUGAGGAGGUGUGGGAGGAUGGAGACAGCGGCCACCAAAGGCUGGGGAAGCCGCAGUUCCAGGUAGGAGAUGCUGCCUUCCAAGGAGAGGGACUUGUCUGUCCCACUGGAAUUUGGGGUGUGAGGCCAAUGGAACAAAGGGGUUGAUUCCAUUUUCUCACUCAGGUUCUCAUGUGCUUUGGGAGGUAUUUGUGGAAAGAUCAUUUUAGUGAGUUUGUGUUGGGAAUUUAGCUGCUAGAGAAUGGAAAAUUACAAAGCUGUGGCUAAUUCCAAGUCCUGCACCUGCAUAGAUAGUAGUGUCCUUGGGCCUAGCUGUAGUAGGAUAACAAACAGUGAAAGAGACAUGAGAAAAGAGAGAUGUAACCCCUGAGGAAUGAGGAAGAGUUGAUGGUAUAGUUUAACCAAUAGAUUGCUUAGCUUACAGAAUAUUCAUAAGCUUAUUACUCGCUGUAUAAGUGUCUGAUGCUCUCUUCAAUAAACGGAACUUGCUUAUCACUCAUAUUGAGUGUCCGAGUCUCCCCUCACCGACAAAUGGUCAUCCCCGACAAAGGCCUCGUUUCUGCGACAAGUUUGCACUGGGUUUGAAGGAAUGUGGCCCCUGGGGCAGAAAUCCCUGCACAGAUUCUGUGUCCUCCUGUGGCCCAUCUGAACAGUCCACGGGCUGGGCCUCCUUGUUUCCUUCUUCUCCAGGCUCUGGAUGAAAUCCUUCCUUUCCCAAGGGAGGGGAAAGCCAGCAGGAUGUGAACCAGAGGUGCUGCUUUAGGAAAGCCCCUCCAGCCUGGGAAGGAGCUCCUGGCUCCAGACACGUUCCCAGUGCCCAGGAGCAGCAGGACCUGUGCUGUUCCCAGCAGAGAAAAGCUGCCAAGGAAGAAAGGAAGAGCUUUCCUUGGUGAAAACCUUCCCAGUCCCACGCUGGGUUUGCACACACAGGAGGCUCCAUCCCUGCUGGAAUCCAGUCACAGCCCCCAGAUCAAUGUGCACUUUAAGGUCUCACAGCCCGACCAGGACAAUCUCCUGCCUCUGGACAUGGAAAAUCAGUUUUUCAUUGUUACAGCACCAGCUCCAGAAUCCUCUGAGGCUGAAACAAAGACAGGGAACCUUCUGAGAUGGAACGAGCCAGAGCAAGUUGUUGUGGGAAAGGAAGAUUAAAGAUGGUAAGUGGUAAAACCUUUGUUCAUCCUGACCUCUGUACUUGGCCUCUGUACCUGGGAAUGGGUCAGCUCUGGAAAUUUCCUGGAGACACUGGAGAAUGAUCCCUGGUCUGCUGAAAAGUGGGAAAACCCCACUGGCAAUUGCAGCCCCUGAGGGAGGGCAAAAGGAGCAGGACCUCAGUCUGUGAGUGUGUGAGAAAUAAGGGAGGGACAAAUCUAUGGAUCAUCCUGUGCCUCAGGGCACCAGGAAAAGCCCCUCACCUAAAAACUGAAGUGCUGUUCCACAGGGAGCCUGGGCAUUGAGCUCAUCCCAGCUUUCCUUCCAGAGCUGGAAGAACACCCCACAAUGUUGUUUGAGACAUUCCUGACUGGAACUGGGGCCAGCAGGGCACUUCCCUGUUUUCCUGUAGGAUAUGGGCUGGGACAUGAAUUGGCUCCAGCAGGGCCCAAGAUCACUUGGAAGGGGACCUUCACCCUCACUCCCAAAAAGCUGAGAAGGAAGAAUGCCUGCCUGCAGCUGGCUGCAGCUCCUGGAGCUCUGGGGUUUCUGGCACACUCAGGGACCUGGGAUAAUGCCAGAAUCAUUCAAACCUUGGGAAUAAUGGAAUUAAUACCACCCCUUGAGCUCCUGCCCAUCGGCCACUGGCUGCAGAUGGCUGUGGAAGUGAUGGAGGCAUUCAGGGAAUGCUGAUUGUUUUUCCCUCCCUUUGGCAGUCUGGUCAGCAAAAAUACUAAUUGAGCUCUUCCAGCAGGGAAACAUUUAAGCAAGAGGUGUUGAAAAGAAUUGGAGUUUCUGAUUUUAAGUCUCCAACCUUAAGUCCUCUUUGGAUUGUCACUGGUCCAAUUUUCAUGGACUGGUCACCAUGGCCAGGAGUGUCCAAUCCUGCUGGAAAUGCACUGGACCAGGAUGUCAUUUUCAUUUGAUGCUGGUAAAGACCCUCUGGGUGACCCCCAGUCACUGGAAAGACUGGAUUGGGCUCCCAUGGCACUAAUUCCAGGUGUUAUGUUUUUGGGAAUAGCACAGGAGCCUUUCCCUUGCCCAGAGGAGCAGCAAGUGCCUCAAAUCCCCAGGAUGGACCACACAGAAAAUAGCAGGAAUAUGGAAAUCCCCCACACUGGGAGUUUGUGGUGGUCUGAAUGACUUUUUGGAUUUAUAAUGUUAAAGGGAGGCUGUGGAAUGGCUUAUCUCCUUUUUAUUUUUAUUGUUCUCACUGCUCUUGUUGCUGUUGCUGUCACUGUUAUUACGUGUUGUCAUGAAUAUUAAAUGAUUGUAUUUUAAUGGUUUCCAUUAUUAAAGUGUUCUGAGCUGGA